UGGGGAAUAUUGCACAAUGGGCGAAAGCCUGAUGCAGCAACGCCGCGUGAGGGACGACGGCCUUCGGGUUGUAAACCUCUUUUAGCAAGGAAGAAGCGAAAGUGACGGUACUUGCAGAAAAAGCGCCGGCUAACUACGUGCCAGCAGCCGCGGUAAUACGUAGGGCGCAAGCGUUAUCCGGAAUUAUUGGGCGUAAAGAGCUCGUAGGCGGUUUGUCGCGUCUGCUGUGAAAACCCGAGGCUCAACCUCGGGCCUGCAGUGGGUACGGGCAGACUAGAGUGCGGUAGGGGAGAUUGGAACUCCUGGUGUAGCGGUGGAAUGCGCAGAUAUCAGGAAGAACACCGAUGGCGAAGGCAGAUCUCUGGGCCGUAACUGACGCUGAGGAGCGAAAGGGUGGGGAGCAAAACAGGCUUAGAUGNCCCUGGUAGUCCACCCCGUAAACGUUGGGAACUAGUUGUGGGGUCCAUUCCACGGAUUCCGUGACGCAGCUAACGCAUUAAG
rnacentral:rRNA from 1 species